CGAGCGGUAGCACAGGAGAGCUUGCUCUCCGGGUGACGAGCGGCGGACGGGUGAGUAAUGUCUGGGAAACUGCCUGAUGGAGGGGGAUAACUACUGGAAACGGUAGCUAAUACCGCAUAACGUCGCAAGACCAAAGAGGGGGACCUUCGGGCCUCUUGCCAUCAGAUGUGCCCAGAUGGGAUUAUCUAGUAGGUGGGGUAAUGGCUCACCUAGGCGACGAUCCCUAGGUGGUCUGAGAGGAUGACCAGCCACACUGGAACUGAGACACGGCCCAGACUCCUACGGGAGGCAGCAGUGGGGAAUAUUGCACAAUGGGCGCAAGCCUGAUGCACCCAUGCCGCGUGUAUGAAAAAGGCCUUCGGGUUGUAAAGUACUUUCAGCGAGGAGGAAGGCAUUAAGGUUAAUAACCUUAGAGAUUGACGUUACUCGCAGAAGAAGCACCGGCUAACUCCGUGCCAGCAGCCGCGGUAAUACGGAGGGUGCAAGCGUUAAUCGGAAUUACUGGGCGUAAAGCGCACGCAGGCGGUCUGUCAAGUCGGAUGUGAAAUCCCCGGUCUCAACCUGGGAACUGCAUUCGAAACUGGCAGGCUAGAGUCUUGUAGAGGGGGGUAGAAUUCCAGGUGUAGCGGAGAAAUGCGUAGAGAUCUGGAGGAAUACCGGUGGCGAAGGCGCCCCCCUGGACAGAGACUGACGCUCAGGUGCGAAAGCGUGGAGAGCAAACAGGAUUAUAUACUCUGGUAGCCACGCCGUAAACGAUGUCGACUUGGAGGGUGUUCUCUUGAAGAGUGGCUCCGGAGCUAACGCGUUAACUCCACCGCCUGGAGAGUACGGCGCAAGGAUAAACUCAAAUGAAUUGACGGGGCCCGCACAAGCGGUGGGCAUGUGGUUUAUUCGUGCACGCGAAAACCUUACUACUCUUGA
rnacentral:rRNA from 1 species